rnacentral:rRNA from 1 species
GAGUUUGAUCCUGGCUCAGAUUGAACGCUGGCGGCAUGCCUUACACAUGCAAGUCGAACGGCAGCGCGGGCGGGGGUAACCUCGCCUGGCGGCGAGUGGCGAACGGGUGAGUAAUAUAUCGGAACGUACCCUGGAGUGGGGGAUAACGUAGCGAAAGUUACGCUAGUACCGCAUACGAUCCAAGGAUGAAAGCAGGGGACCGCAAGGCCUUGUGCUCCUGGAGCGGCCGAUAUCUGAUUAGCUAGUUGGCGGGGUAAAAGCCCACCAAGGCAACGAUCAGUAGCUGGUCUGAGAGGACGACCAGCCACACUGGAACUGAGACACGGUCCAGACUCCUACGGGAGGCAGCAGUGGGGAAUUUUGGACAAUGGGCGCAAG